UAUCACUUCUAACUGUGUAACGCAAAGCUAAAUUGAACACUAGAGUGUUUUUGCAAUUCCGAUUAUGUAAGACAAAAGACAGCCACAAUGCCUAGUGAUAUCGUUCUAGGCGCAAAAUUUUAUCGACAUUAUGCGACUAAAUAAAAUACACCCUUUCCCGGUACUACUUACUACGGGUGCGGCAUACUUUUGCACAUAUACGCAUUAUACUUGAUUUUGCUGUUUGUCUGUGGUGAAGUGAAGUGCCAUAGUUUCUUUGUUGGUAAACAAAGCCGUAUUAAAAUAUUAAUAAAAAAAUUGGUUUCGUUGGAUCAAAGUACUUGCUACUGCUAGUUUUUUGUUUUCAAUAGAAGUAAUUAAUUAAUCAUUUUAUCGUAUACAUUUUUAUUAGUGUUAAUAGUUAAUUUAUCAAAGUAAACGGCCACUUUUACAUAAAACAUUAUCUACACGAAAGUUCUUCAAAGUUUUAUCGUCUGCCUAUGAUUAAUUUAAUGGUCGUUGUGACAAUAUGUAAAGUAUAUUUUAUAGUGUUUUGUAUAUUAAAGUUUAUCGCUUGCAACUAAAGAUGUCCGGGAAACUCAAUGAUCGCCAAUUGGAACUCUAAUUGGAGAUUGCAGAGUGCCACCCAAACUUGGCGAUGGGUUGUUUUGGAGGGCCUUUGGAAAGUCAGGCUACUAAAUAAACCUUCCGUGUUCGCGUCUGCCAGUGGCGUUGUAUCAACAUGAAGAUGUGGGCUCUAAACUUUGAGUGCCAGGGACUGACUAUGGAAGUCUCCAUGUCGCUGGUCACCAUUGAGGUGCAAAACACCUUGAAAAAAUUGGUCAUUCUGAAUCCUUCAUCUCUAUGAACGAUUCAUGAAGAAAGAAUUAAACAAACAUUUAAUGAACAGAUUUUUUAUAAGAUUAUUAUCAAUAAUGACAUUGCAUAUGAGAGAAAAUUGUCAAAUAUAAUUUCAUUUUAAUUUAAUAUAGUUAAUUAUGACAUCACUGUAUAUAAAGAAUAUGAUUAUUAUCAUUUGGUUAAUUUCAGUAUUACAUAGUAUUAGAUAAAAAUUUUAUUGUAAAAUUGCACAUCAAAAUAUGUUUUAUUAUCUAUUAUUAGGAGGAAAUAUUAUUUAACUAUUAUUAUUAUCCCUAAUAGCCCAGUGAAUGUGACCCCUGCCUCCAAUUCCGGAGGGUGUGGGUUCGAACCCGUUCCGGGGCACGCACCUCCAACUUUUCAGUUGUGUGCAUUUUAAGAAACUAAAUAUCACGUGUCUCAAACAGUGAAGGAAAACAUCGUGAGGAAACCUGCAUACCAGAGAAUUCUCUUAAUUCUCUGCAUAUGUGAUGUCUGCCAAUGUAAUCCAAAUAUGCUGGCCCAUAUUCGGCUCCUGUCAGAAUGAGAGGGGUUAGGCAUUGGCCUUCCCUUACCUUAUCAGCCGAUAGACGUCCACUGCUGGACAUAGGCCUCUUACAUGGACCUCCAAGCACAACGACCUUGAGCCGCGAACAUCCAACCAACCGACCAACCACGCUUUCCAGUGCGGGGUCUCCCGAGUGCGGGUAGGCACUAACCCCUCUUACUGGGGGAGACUCGAGCUCAGCAGUGAGCCGAAUAUGUGUUUAUAAUGAUGAUGAUGAUGAUGAUGAUGAUGAUGAUGAUGAUGAUGAUGAUGAUGAUGAUGAUGAUGAUGAUGAUGAUGAUGAUGAUGAUGAUGAUGAUUAUUUAAGUAAUUGUAAAAGAAAAAUAUUACAUUAGUUGUUUUCAAUACAAUUCAAUAAUUUUAAGAACAAAACAUGUACCUACCACAUUGUAGGAAAUAAAUAAAUAAUGAUUUGAUUAAAAACAAUGUUGUUUAAUGUUAAGCAGGUAGGGCCAGGUAGUUAAAGUAGAUACUCUAUAUUUGUGUAACAUCUAUUACUUAAAAAUAAAAAAUAUAUUUA